UCAGCAACAGGUUUCCACAGGGAAGGCCCUACAUCAUCUGCUACCCUGAAGGAUCUGGAGAGCCCUUGCCAAGAACUAGAAGUAGUCCUGGAUUCAAGGUCUGUAAAAAUCAGUCAACUGAAGAAUACCAUCAAAUCUUUGAAACAACAGAAGAAACAAGUGGAACAUCAGCUGGAAGAAGAAAAGAAAGCAAACAACAAGAAACAGAAACCUGAAAGGGAGCUAGAGGUUCAAAUCCAGAGAUUGAACACACAGAAAGGGAAACUAAAUACAGACCUGUACCACAU
rnacentral:sRNA from 1 species